GAUGAACGCUGGCGGCGUGCCUAAUACAUGCAAGUCGAGCGAACGGACGAGAAGCUUGCUUCUCUGAUGUUAGCGGCGGACGGGUGAGUAACACGUGGAUAACCUACCUAUAAGACUGGGAUAACUUCGGGAAACCGGAGCUAAUACCGGAUAAUAUUUUGAACCGCAUGGUUCAAAAGUGAAAGACGGUCUUGCUGUCACUUAUAGAUGGACCCGGGCUGCAUUAGCUAGUUGGUAAGGUAACGGCUUACCAAGGCAACGAUGCAUAGCCGACCUGAGAGGGUGAUCGGCCACACUGGAACUGGGACACGGUCCAGACUCCUACGGGAGGCAGCAGUAGGGAAUCUUCCGCAAUGGGCGAAAGCCUGACGGAGCAACGCCGCGUGAGUGAUGAAGGUCUUCGGAUCGUAAAACUCUGUUAUUAGGGAAGAACAUAUGGUAAGUAACUGUGCACAUCUUGACGGUACCUAAUCAGAAAGCCACGGCUAACUACGUG
rnacentral:rRNA from 1 species